UGCCGCCGAGCCUCCCCACCAGGCCUUCUGAGUGCCGCCGAGCCUCCCCACCAGGCCUUCUGUGUGCCACCGAGCCUCCCCACCAGGCCUUCUGUGUGCUGCCGUGCCUUUCCGCCAGGCCCACUGUAUGCUGUUCCGCCUCCCCACCAUGAUGGAUGGACUCUUAGACUCUGUAUCCCUCUGGAAGUGUGCCUAUGGAGGCCAGAAGAUGGUGUCAGAUCCUGAAGCUGGAAUCACAGACUGUUGUAUAUUGCCCAAGCGCAUCCCUGUGCCUCUAGAAAAGAAGCCUCUAUUGACUGUUUCCAUGCGACCUGGACGUUACUGUGAGGCAGAAGCUCUUUCGGGUAUUGCGUGAGUUUUCCUGCCCAUUCCGUCCCCCAGAACCUGGUGGAAGUUAGACAGGCCUAUCUCUAAAGUCAGAGAGUGGAAUUUUUUUUACAAGAAGUAUGACGGAUGGCAGGAAUUGAGACAUGAUAAGAUCUUGUAGCUACGGCCUAGCUUCGAUCCUUAUAAUUUAUCACUUAAGCAUUCCUGCUUUUACAAGUUCACACCGGCAAUCACUUAAAGACUUGUAAAAAUUCCUGGCGCCAAGGAGACACACCUGAAGGUGAAGGGACAAAGUGGGUAGGUCACCUGCCAGGACAAGGCCAAGAGUACACGAUUUAAAAAAAAAAAAAAAUUGCGCCUGCGC